rnacentral:SRP_RNA from 1 species
GGCGCCCCUCGUGCGGCGUCAUCUUGUGAACCUCCCCAGGGCCGGAAGGCAGCAAGGAUAAACAAGCUCUGUCGGGUGCGCGAGGGGCCCUUCG